AGAGAAAACUGAGAGAGAACAAUCGAACUCCACCACCACCAACUUUAUCAUCGCCACCACCUUCACUUCAGCAUCACCUCUAAUUCCACCACCACCUCAACCAAUUUUACCAACAAUUUCAGCACAACCUCUUAUAUUCCGACCAGAAUUCACCACCAGCAACACCACCACCACCUUUUAAACAAUCAAUUUAGAUUUAUUUUUACUUGAUUCAACUAUAAAAGUUAAAUCUAGAGAUGAGCUAACGACAAACUAAUCUCCAAAACCUAAUAUUGAGCAUGAGAAACGUAAUUUUCAGUGCGAUUCGAGAGAGAGAUUUGAGUUAUUGAGUGAUUCGAUUGAAAUCAUCAACCACCAGCAGGAGUAGCAGAAUUUGAUAAUUGAUCAUGUUCCCAGAUCUUUUGAUUUUGUGAUUUCGAUUUGAAGAUUCGUAGAGUUGUAUAAGUUGAUUUCAAGUUUCAAAGAUAACAUUGUUGUUUGUUUUAGGUGGUGAAUUUAAUUCUUAUUUUUUGUUGUAUGUUCUAGUGAGAUAAUGAUGGGUUGAGUUGACGGCAACAAACGAGAUUGAGUUGUUGUUGGCUUUUGAGAUAAAGUUGUUGUUGGUGGUUCGGUGAUUUUGGACUCAAUUGAUACAGAUGGUGGAGGAUAAGCUGAACUGAAGUACUAAUUUAGAUGAUGUUUAGAAUUAGAGGUUACAGGAAAUGAGGAUGAACUCAUUGUGGUGAUGUUGUUGUACUGCGAUGGUUGCUUGAUGAUUGAGCUGAAGCAAAUUUAACAGUAGUGAUGCCAGAGUUAAAGUUAGAUGAAUGUUAGGUUGCUGCUGCAAUGGAGGAAAAUGGUGGUGCUUCAGUCUCAUAUGGUGUUGAACUGGUGAUUGAUGUUGCUUCGGUUGGAGGUGGUGAUAUACGUAAAUUUCUCUUAUAAAUGUGGUUAUGGAACCACGAAAGCUAUUAUGUGAUGCACGGACAUAGAAGAUACUAAUGAAGCUUACGGUCAGUGAAGUGGAGAUGGUGGCAGCAACAAUGCUAAAGUAACAACGAAAUGGGAGUUGUGCUUAGGUGUGGCUGGCAUGUAUAAUGAACCGUGCAGUAGAUGGAGGAUGGUUGCAUUGGCGAUGGUGGUUGUCGAUUAAAAUGAGCAUCCCUCUCUGGUUGACAAACAAAAAAUAUUCUAAUCUAGCUUAAUUCACAAAGCUUCAAGAUUUAGUGCAUAGCGGUGGUGGUGAUGGCUGCAGUCGAUGAAGUGGAGAUGAAGAACAGAAUGGAGAGUCGUGCUGAUCGCAACUGGUCUUGUGGUGAGCUGAGAAGAAGCUGAAGUUAGACAAACAUAAGGCAUGAACAGGAUUGUUUCUGUUCAUUUUGUGGAGUUGUGAGAGAAGAGUUUGGCUGCAGUUUCCGUGAAGAUACAGAUAAUGGAGUUUGAUUGUGGCCGCAGUUGGUUUGUUGUGGGUUCAAAUGGACAGGUGAUGGAGCUACGCGUGGAGUCUCAGUCCUGGUGAUGUUCUACAACAAUAACAAUGGGUAUUCUUCAAUGUCGAAUUGGGUUUCGCUGGUGGAGCUAACUGGUGGUGCUGCGAAUACCCAACCAACACUAAUUGUAUUCAGUAGAUUUUGGGGUUUUCUAGUCUUCAAAUUUCAGUUACAUUCAGUGGUACUGAUGGACAUAUUGGUCGAUGGUAGAGAUGGGUUUUACACAAUUUUGGUUCGGAGAAAAUGUACAGGAAGUUGGGAAUUUCUCAUGUGGAAGUGGUGGCUAUUCUUUGACAGAAAAGAUGGAAGUUGGAUCGUUGGGUGAGCUGUCCAGUUGGUGGUGAAUAUGGUUAGAACAGUUGCUGCUGGUGAGGGGGUUUCAGGCGAAAGAGAUAGAGAUGACUGCUUCCAAUGAUUUCAGUGAGAUAAUUCAAGGAAGAAGAGAAAAGUUCUUGGGGUAAUUAGUGAUGCUUUCACAUAAUGGAGAAAGGUGUUGGUCGAGAUUUAGAUGGUCCGGGAAAGGACUGGUGCUGUAAUAGCAAUCACGGCUUUGUUUAUGCCUGCAUUUAAGGUUCACGCAUGUGUAUACUUUUUCUUUUGGAGACAAGUUAUGCUAGUUGCCUCCAUAUCCGAAGACAACUUGUGCUAGCUGCGUCCAAAUUUGGAGACAACUUGAACAAGUUGCGUCUACAUAUGGAUACAACUUGGGAUAGUUGCCUCCAUAUAUGGAGACAACUUGGGAUAGUUGCCUCUGUUAGAGAAUAGCUCGGUCAACCUCGCAUGCGUUGAUAUCUCAAGCAUGUUUGUCAAUGUUAAUAAUCAAAAUUAUGAGUCUUAAUUUCUAGCCUGCAUAGCUAAGUCUCGGAGUAGGAUAGAAAAAUGUAGUUGAGCUCAAGGACUUCAUGGCGAUUCAUCAUACAACGACGAAGAUCUAUACAAGGAACCGUGGAACUUCAUCAACAAAAAGGUAU